UACAGAGGUCUCAAGCGUUGUUCGGAUUCAUUGGGCGUAAAGGGUGCGUAGGUGGCGGGGUUAGUCAGGUGUGAAAUCUCGGAGCUUAACUCCGAAACUGCACUUGAUACUGCCUUGCUAGAGUACUGGAGAGGAGAUUGGAAUUUACGGUGUAGCAGUGAAAUGCGUAGAUAUCGUGAGGAAGACCAGUGGCGAAAGCGAUUCUCUGGGCAGUUCCUGACACUGAGGCACGAAGGCCAGGGGAGCAAACGGG
rnacentral:rRNA from 1 species